rnacentral:tRNA from 1 species
GCCCUCCUGGCGUAACUGGUAGCGCACGGGAGUGAAGACCCCCGAGGACUCCGUUCAAGUCGGGGGGAGGGCA